rnacentral:rRNA from 1 species
GAGUUUGGCCCGCAACAUCGGGACUGAGACACUGCCCGGACCUCCACGGAGGGCUGCAGUAACGAAUAUUGGGCAAUGAGCGAAAGCUUGGCCCAGCGACGCCGCGUGUAGGAGGAAGUCUUUCGGGAUGUAAACUACUGUCAGGGGGACGAAAGUGCGCUUCGGUGCAUUGAUCGAACCCAGAGGAAGUCACGGCUAACUUCGUGCCAGCAGCCGCGGUAAGACGAAGGUGGCAAGCGUUGUUCGGUAUUACUGGGCUUAAAGCGUGUGUAGGCGGAAGCGUAAGCGUUUUGUGAAAUCCCUCGGCUUAACCGAGGGAUUGCUUGGCGAACUGCGUUUCUUGAGGCAGGUAGGGGUGCGCAGAACUCUUGGUGGAGCGGUGGAAUGCGUAGAUAUCAAGAGGAAUGCCGGUGGAGAAGUCGGUGCACUGGGCCUGACCUGACGCUGAGACACGAAAGCGUGGGGAGCGAACGGGAUUAGAUACCCCGGUAGUCCACGCCGUAAACGAUGCCUACUAGGUUGUGGUGGUUCUGACGCCAGCACAGCCGAAGCUAAAGUGUUAAGUAGGCCGCCUGGGGAGUACGGUCGCAAGGCUAAAACUCAAAGGAAUUGACGGGGGCUCACACAAGCGGUGGAGCAUGUGGAUUAAUUCGAACCAACGCGCAGAACCUUACCAGGGUUUGACAUGCUUGGAUGCCGCCGAGGAAACUCGGUUAGGCUGCCUUCGGGUGAAACUUGCACAGGUGCUGCAUGGCUGUCGUCAGCUCGUGUCGUGAGAUGUCGGGUUAAGUCCCUUAACGAGCGAAACCCUUGCCGCUAGUUGCCAGCGAGUCAUGUCGGGGACUCUAGCGGGACUGCCGGUGUUAAACCGGAGGAAGGUGGGGAUGACGUCAAGUCAUCAUGGCCUUUAUGCCCUGGGCUUCACACGUGCUACAAUGGUCAGAACAGAGCGACGCAAGACCGUGAGGUGGAGCAAAUCGCAAAAAUCUGGCCCCAGUUCGGAUUGCAGGCUGGCAACUCCCUGCAUGAAGGUGGAAUCGCUAGUAAUCGCGUAUCAGCGAUGACGCGGUGAAUGUGUUCCUGAGCCUUGUACACACCGCCCGUCAAGUGAUGGGAGUUGGGAGUACCCGAAGUCGUCUUGCUAACCCCUCGGGGAGGCGGAUGCCGACGGUAAGCCCGAUGACUGGCACUAAGUCGUAACAAGGUA